UCACCAUAAUAGGGAGGAAGCUUAUGUUCGACUUUAUGUGGAUACGAUUCAGUGCAUCAACUACUUUCCUAAACAAACACAAAAUAUACCAGAACUGUCUCAGGAAAUGAAGGCAGUUUGUUUCCAAGAGCUGCAGCUGUUUGUAAAGAGGUAUGUUGAUGAGCAGACUGAGACUCUUGGGAAAUGGGCAAAAAUGGACAAACCAGAAAUGGUACACUUCUUCAAAGUGUUGAAAACUUGUAGAGA